GCAGCCGUGACAGAGUGGUGAUUGUGCUGGUCUCGAAAACCAGUGGCCUUUGAGCCUCAUGGGUUCGAAUCCCAUCGGCUGCG
rnacentral:tRNA from 1 species